UACAGAGGGGGCAAGCGUUGUUCGGAAUUACUGGGCGUAAAGGGCGCGUAGGCGGCCUUCUAAGUCGAACGUGAAAUCCCCGGGCUCAACCCGGGAACUGCGUCCGAUACUGGAAGGCUUGAAUCCGGGAGAGGGAUGCGGAAUUCCAGGUGUAGCGGUGAAAUGCGUAGAUAUCAGGAGGAACACCAAUGGCGAAGGCAGCUCGCUGGGACGGUACUGACGCUGAGACGCGAAAGCGUGGGGAGCAAACAGG
rnacentral:rRNA from 1 species